UGGCUUCUCAUCUUCAUCUUCACUGAGGGCUCGGUCUUCUUGGUUUGAAGUUUCGAAAUUGUUGUUCUUCGGUCUUCUUCUUCGGUUUAGUGUGGUUACUUUAUGCUUGUUUUAUAAUGUUUGUUGCUGGAUGCGGAUUGUUCUUGAUUCUUGGCUCUGUUUAGUCUCUUGUUUUCAUGAAUCAGCAUUUAGUCAAGCAAAGCCACAUAACUUUGUGCU